CGCGGGAUGGAGCAGUUGGUAGCUCGUCGGGCUCAUAACCCGAAGGUCGUGGGUUCAAGUCCCUCUCCCGCAACCA
rnacentral:tRNA from 1 species